rnacentral:lncRNA from 1 species
CCUAAACCGUUAUCCAUUCAAUUUGGCGAAUUAUCUUCUCCCCUUACCGGUGAAUCCUCUUUGACUCAUGGUAGGGCUGCUCCCGCUUCCUCAGAUUUUUUGCUCCAUCAUAAGGUAUGUCCUCUUAAGGAUCGUGGGUUCUUUUGUUAGUUGUAAGAAAUCUAUCCACUAUGCUUUCUUCUGGGCAAAAAACAUUUGGGGUGACCGAAUUGAAAAAGUGUAUUUUAAAGGAAAUGGUCUUUUUUUUUUGCUAAGUUUGUUUGUAUAUAAAGGAACCAAAGAAACAAAAGCAGAGGGGCAUACCCCAGAAUAUAACAACGUCAUCUAAUGAAAGAUGAUGACACGAUACAAGGAAAGAUCCCAAAUAACCAAAACAACUAAACUAACAUCUAAGGAAAUGGUCUUUUCAUUUUCAAUUUUAAGCAAGAGGAUGAUAUACUCGGUAUUCUCAACUCUGGUCCUAUAUUUUUUGGCAAAUCCCUCUUGAUCCUUCAUCGAUGGCAGCCUAGUAUGGAAUUGGUUUAAUCUGAUCCUACUGCUAUUCCUAUUUGGAUCAACUUCCAUAAUGUCCCUCUAGCCCUCUGGCAUGAUGAUGGUUUUGCUUACCUUGCUAGUCAUUUUGGUAAAUCUUUGUCCCUUGAUGAGCAUACAUAGAAGGGUAACAAACUUGCAUUUUCUAGAGUAUGUGUGGAAAUUGAGGCCAUCACAACUGUUCUAAGUUCCUUCAGAAUUCAAAUUAAAAAUUGUGCUCCUCAUGAAAUCAAGGUGGAAAUACCUUGGCAGCCUUGGAAAUGCUUGCAUUGUAAUCAUUCCGAUGCUUCCUGCACAUCUAAGCCUCGAGCUAUGGCACAGAAUCGUAGGAAACGCAAGUCUUUUUGGAAAAAGGUGGAGAAACGAAAUAAGGAACUAUCAUCUUUCCCCUCUUCUCCUACCCUGCCCCCGGAAAACUAUAAUGAUGUUCAAUCUCGCAACGUUAAGCAAAAUGAACACCCUCUUGGGGAUUCACUGGCUUCCACUAGUAUAGAUUUCCCCUUGGACUUUAAUAUUGGAUUACAGCCUGCUAACCCAGGAAAUGUUGAUUGCAGUGGGAAGGUUUUGACGAUAAACUCACCGGACAUACAUCAUUAAAGAGAAAAGUUAUAUCCCCAGGAUCAUGUUCAGAAAAAAGAGUUCAUUGUGACAAAACUGCAGUUUUAAUGGAUAUAGCUAAUAUUGCAAAAAAAAAUUAUUUAGCUAUUAUCUCUUUUCCAGCCCUCAAAUCAUGCUUAAAGGUUCCCCCUAGGAGAAUUGGAAUGCGGCUAAUCAAAAAUAAACCACCUUGACUUAUUCAACUGGUUUGUUAUGGCUGGAGUGUUUAUGCGGUCAUGGGCUGGUUGGUUGCUCCCCAUGUGGAUUUCUGCGCAACCAUGUCCUUUGAGCUUGUUAUCCAUGUGCUUCCUAUUUGGGUUUCAUGGGUUUUUAUUCUAUAAUUGUUUUCAUGCUCAGAUUUGGUUUGAACUCUUGGGUUGUGUUUCCAAUUUUUCAAAUUGUCCUUAUUUAUUUCUGAUUUGGUUUGAAUCUGGCUUUGGAAUUGGCCUUUGACUAUGUGUUACAGAUCUGGAUAUCAUAUUUUGGUUCUUUUUGCUGUUAAUGUUCAGAUUUGGCUUCUGAUUCAUUUUUGAUGCUACUUGGUUGGUGUCAUUUUGAUCUCUAUCAAUCCUUGCUCGUUGUUUCAUUUAAUUUCCUUAUCUUGGGUAUGAUUGUGCUUGGCCAAUUGGAAGGUUCUGCCGAUUAGAUUUCUGGCUGGUUUUGGCUAGUUUUGGGAGUUGCAAUUUUGGACUAUUUUCUGGUAGCCGUUGGUAUUCGCCGUUGGGUCAGGCUGGGGCAGUGUUUCUGCAGGCCUUGGGCAGUGUUUUUGAAUUGUUGUUGCUAGCCUGCUGCCUCCCACAUGGGGUAUAAUGACCAAAUGUUGUUUUUAUUGUAUUUUGAUGCCAUACGUGGGGUUUACUUUGUAGCUAAAUAUUUAGUUUUAUAGCUAAAUGUUUUAGUUUUUGUUGUCUUUUGCUUAACCUCGGGCUGUGAGGGCGAUUAAUAUUAGGUUAGACAAUUGUUUUUCCUAGUCUCUAGGUGCUUUAAUCCUCUCAGGAGAAGAGGGCUAUGUUAUGAUCUCCACUGUAAUAUCUUUAGCUUUUUGUUUUUUUAUACAAACAAAAUUUAGCCAAAAAAAAAAUGCUCGAUUAGAAAAUGUUAAAUUUGUUUUUAUUUAUUUAUGAAGCUUGUGUAAUAAACUUAAUUAGGAUUAUAUUUUACUUUUCC